UAAUUGUGAAAAAUAUAAAACGUUCAAAUAGCGGUAUCGUUAUAGCCAAUGAGCUGCUGUCAUAGUGACAUUGACGUAUUGUCAAUGUCACACGAGAAUCAAACGUCAGAAUAGAGGGACGCGCGGAGACGACUCCGCGCGCUUUUGUGCUAAGUGAUGAAUUGUAUCUAAAAUAAGGCAAUAUAAUGUGAAAGAUGAGUAUCCAGCGUUUUAUUUAUGAGAAUAGAUCUACCGGCCUCUAAUAGUUCAGAAGUGAGAUCUGAAACCUAUGAUAGUAACGUGAUUUCAAAGUGUUCCAGGUGACCAAUGUUUCGUGUUAUUUGUCACGAAUGUUAACACAAAACGCCCACGAUUCUAUGAUUAUAAUGGAAUAUGAUGAAGAGAGAAUGUCAUGGAAACCACGUUGACAACUGUGUGAGAUGCAGAAAAGUAUUUAAGUACGAGAAAUGAUGACGCAAAUUAUGAAGAUACUCCCUCCGUAACUUGGCUUGUGGUCACGUAAGUGGUGAACAAUUUGACUAACGAUGGCCCCAGAGCAGGUAUGAUUUAUUAUUAUUAUCGAUUAUUCCAACAGCAACAAUAUUAACACAUUUACUUUUGAGCAAAAUAAUGCAUGGAAGUGAAUGAUGCAUCAAAUGUUAUAGAUAUUGUCAGUUUACUGAUAAUGCCAGGAAUGUGUGUGAAAGCUACGGUAUGUGCUCACUUUAACUGCAAUGCCUAAUAAACUAUUUUAGUAAAGUAAAUUAAAUUGAACGGUGUUCAUUUGUUUAUGUUUACAUUCUGCGAAGAAUAACCUGUUGAAAUUUAAAAUCUCUAAAGAAUACAUAGAAUAUGGUCAGAUUAAUUAAACAAGUUUGGUAAUCAUGCCCGAGUAACCUCUUGGCAUUAUUUUGGGUAACAAUUAAUAAUUAGUUUUAUUCAAGUAAAUUGAAGCUAAGGUCUGUGUUGUGUAAACCAGUUUUAGUAUCAUGAUGUUUCCUUCUUGAUGUUCAGUAAAUACUACAAGAUGAGAUAACUUAAAACAUUUAUCUAAUUGGAAUUAAGUAAAGCAGCCAGUUAUACCGUUGAACAUGUGGUAUAUUUUUGGUAUUCUUAUAAUGAUUGAUACUUCAAUUAAUUGUUAAACACAAUUAUUGUGUACUCCUGGUUACUGUAGAUGCAAGACACAUUAUGUUACAUGAUGCUAUAUUUGAGUAAAGAUAAUGUUAAUAUUGAAUUUCUCCAACUUAUCAAUUAAUUUAUAAUGCCAGUAGUCAUUUGGAUUGUAUUACUAAUAUUGAAAAUAAGUGUGGGUGACCAAAAUUUAUCCAAUUAUGAUAUUACAUAAAAGAUAUAGAAUGUGGUACAUUAAAGGUAUUCUUGUGUACCAGCCAUUAUUGUUAAUUAUUCUCGCAUGGUGAAAAUGAUUUUAAUCUUGAGGUUAUCUGUUUAAUAAAAAGGUUACUGGUUGUAGCAUGUUGUGUGUGCAUAUUUUUAGAUUUGACUUGAGUUUUAGAUGUGGUGACUUAUCUGUCUGCGGGUUGGCCCUGUGGUGAGCAAAUCAGUCAAGCACAAUACCAGAGUGAAGCUGAACACUUAGCAAGGGUACUCCACAUAAGUAAUUUGGAGUUGGACAGAAGGUAAUGCAAUACAAAAGGCAUCAGCUGUGAUAUUUGGUGAGUGAAAAUGCAAUACAAAAGGAAUCAGCUGUGAUAUUUGGUGAGUUGAAUUAAUGUUUUAUUGCAAGGGUUGAGCUGAGACUAGCAGUGCCACUGCGGCUUGGUUGUUUAACUGUGCUUAUUCUUGUCAUUGGCAUGAAAUUGCAUACAAUUAACUUGAGUGUGAACAGAUUGUAAUAAUAAAUUGGCUACAGUCUACUGCUAGACUUUAGAACUUCCCAACUGCCGCUAACAGUCUUAAGCAAAAAGUUAUUAUUAAUAAUGGUGAAUAAGAGAGUUAAUUAUGUGUUUGAAUAGAAAUAAAGGCUUAUCAUUGGUCAUAAGCAUUGGCCUAUUGUGUGGUAUACUACUGUACUGUGCGAAAGUUAGCUAUUUACCCGACUGCGCCAGAAGGAGGGUUAUGUUUUUGAAUAAUGGUAUUAAUGGAGCAAAGUACUAGCAGUGAUCAAAUAAAGUUUAUAUUGGUGAUGAUUGUGUUGUGUGCUUCCCUGUAAUGACUGGGUUGACAACAGAUACUUGAAUAUGAAGUCAGUUGCAUUGUGGGUGAAUUUUGGCCAAGCAUGAGAAGAGAAGUAUUGUACUUGUUAAAUUAAAGUUCUUGGAUAUUUCCAUGAAUGCUUGUUCCUAUUUGAGAAUGGUAAGUUCAUGGAAGUAUGUGCAGUUUCCAAAGAUAAUAGUUGGAAGUGUAUUGCUGUCAACACAAUAAUAACAGUAAGUUUAUUAUGAUAAAGUUGCAUUUGUGUGUGAAGCAAAUUUGUGUUCACUAAGACACAAUGUUAAGCAUAAUUUGUUUCACUGUUUAUUACUGGCAUUAUUGAUGAUGAUUUAUGUAGUUGUGUUAUUCAUCUUAAUAUUUUAGAGUUUACAUUGAAAUAUUUUAUUAUUUAAAUAAAGAUAAUUUUAGCAAAUUUCUUAUGAUGUUGUGAUUAUGGGAAUGGUUUGAUUAUAAUAAUAAUAAUAGGGGUAUGAUGUACUAUGUGAGGAUCAUACACCAGUGGGCAUUGUCAUGAAACUGGGUGGACUUUGUCAUUUUGUGUGAGAUGGAUGUCCUGAUAGCUGUGUGAGGAGGACAUGUGGCAUUGUCUUGAAACUGUGUGGACAUUGUCAUUCUGAGUGGGAUGUCUGGUGUGACAUCAGGAAUUGUGAAGAUGUCGUGUCUUGUGUGGGAGACAUCAUGAACUAUGAUGUUUUGGCUUGUGUAGCGACAUCAUAGGGCUGUGUGGCGAGGCGCAAACUGUGUGGAAUGGCCUAAUCUGUGUGGGUUUAAAGAGAAAAUGUUAAAAGAACCAUAACCAAUCCCAUAAAUCAUUUAGGUCCGAUAGUAUUUAUUUUAUUUGUAUUGCAUUGUAUAACUUCAUUAUAAUUACGUCAUUAGGAUUUCACAAUGUUCUAAAUUAAUUCUGAAUAAUACCGAAGAGAAGAGGCAGUAUCAUGAGCAAAUGGAGAACCUACUGAGAAAGGCAUACGCCGGGCGCUGUAGUGGUGACUUCGUGGAAAGCUUCAACGACAUCGAGCAAGCAAAGAAGUGAUUUUUCAAGUGGACGAAGACCACAGGAAGGCGGUCUUCCAUGUCCGGAACUGGAACAGCAACGACGACAGGCUGCUAGCAGUCGCCCCGAGCGGCAGGCGCGCGAAGAAAGGAGCGACUCCCCUAGAAGCUCCUGAAAAGCAGUGGCGCCUCAAGACCGGAUGGGACGAGCCCGUGCUGGAAGACGUCGCAGCAUACUUCGAGAAAUGGCUGUCAGACCUGCAGAUUAUGAAGAGACUGCGUAUUCCUCGAUACUACUACGGGGGGGAGAUAAAUGAAACUCCGAGAGCUGCACAUCUUCUGCGAUGCAGGCGAGGAAGCCUACGCCGCCGUUGCGUAUUGGCACCUCACUUACAACGACAGGAAGGACGCGGAAGUUGUGCUGGUAGCUGCGCGUGCCAAAGUGGCUCCAGUGAAGACACAAACGAUAUCGAGGUUGGAGCUACAAGCAGCAUGAACGGAAGUGCAUCGGCUGCCUGUAGAAGACACUAUCUACUGGAGUGACUCCUAAACUGUGCUGCAUUGGCUGCGGAACGGAAGCCGCCACUAUACACCCUACGGAGCGCAUCGACUUGAAGAGAUCACCGAGGAGACAAGGCCGUCGGAGUAGCGUUUGAGUACCCACUCACUUGAACGUAGCCGACGUGGCGUCGAGAGCGGGAUACGUGCCUACAUCGGAAGAGGAUGAGUCUGUUGUUCCAAGGGCCGUCGUUCCUCAGAAGACCGAAGUCUGGAUGGCCACGGCAAGAAGGCAAGGACGAUGACGUGCAAUCGAGCAACACUGCAUCUCGUCACUGGGAAGAUCGAGGAUAACGAGACGGUCACAUCGGACCUCUCGCUUUGAAUAUUCUAGAACAUGAGAGACAGAGAUGGCAAUAUCGCGAGAGAAAGGGAAGAGUAUAAAAUAGGGAGCAGGGCAUUCCAGCUGACUAGUUUAAUUCAGAUAAGAAGCGAGUUAAGAAAUCAAAGUGGUCGAAAAGAAAAAGUGAAGAACUCAGAAAUAAAGCUGUCUACAACAAGUACUCUGCCUUCAAGAUUUAUGCCGGUUCCUAUCCCACGAACAUGCAGUCCACUGCUUAUCAACAGUGAGGGUUCUUUCCAUUCUUGGAAGUAGAAUGGGUUACAGUUCUAUGAUUUGGAGUUUAUCGGAACCAAUAAGUUGUAUUUUUGUGGUGGUUGAACAAACUUGAUAGAAACCUUGGAUAAAGGCCUAAUUGGGCAUCAAAGGAUGAGUUUCGUCGGUGGUAACAUUUUGGGCAUAUGAGCUAUGGUGCCUAGAUUAAGAUGGCAUGUGUGUGAUCGACAUUAUUGUCAUUAUUGAAGCAGCUGAUUCUAAAAUAUUGAACGAAGAGAUAAUUGUGAUAGCGUCUGUAUGACCAUUGGCGUGGCGCUACUGAUUGAGGAGCACGCUGAGCUUCUAGAUGAUAUGGAUGUGCUGUGUAAUGAUGACAUAGAUGUACUGUGUGAUGAUGAUAUAGAUGUACUGUGUGAUGAUAUAGAUGUACCGUGUGACGAUGAUAUAGAUGUAUUGUGUGAUGAUUUCUCGUUUCAGCAGAACCAAAGGUGGUCAGCGUGUGGUGCGAAUGGUGGUGGAGAAGGCAGAGUGGAUCUAGCCAGGUGCUCAGCUGGAUCCCAAUACGAGGCGUCAAGUGUGCCAUGAGCAGACCUUCGAGGGCGAAGGAAUUGCAGGAAGGCCGAACUGUUAAUUGUGAAAAAUAUAAAACGUUCAAAUAGCGGUAUCGUUAUAGCCAAUGAGCUGCUGUCAUAGUGACAUUGACGUAUUGUCAAUGUCACACGAGAAUCAAACGUCAGAAUAGAGGGACGCGCGGAGACGACUCCGCGCGCUUUUGUGCUAAGUGAUGAAUUGUAUCUAAAAUAAGGCAAUAUAAUGUGAAAGAUGAGUA